rnacentral:sRNA from 1 species
AAGAUCACACUGAGUAUAGUUAAAGCAUAGAGGAUGCACUAUACCAAAGCAAUUUUUAAACAAUGUUAUGAGAAAAUAAUUUUGUAUAUCAAAAGUUAUUUUGGUUUUGACAUUUCAAGAAAGUGAUUUGUUUAGCAUUAGUCAAUUUACAAAUGUAAUUACAUCUGGCUGUAGCAAAAAGCCUCUGUUAAAACACAAUAUCACCCAAGAGCCUUAAUGAACAAUGUAUAUAAAUUAUUUAUAAACACUGCACGGAAAUAUGAAAAUUUGUUUUAAAUAGUUGAUUGAAGGGAGUCAUAAAAUAAUAUUCAGUGUAGAGACUUCAACAAGUAGGAUUGCCUAAAACAUGCAAUUUUUUAUAUCUACCAAAUACAUAUCAUUUGUACUAUUUUUUUAUUUUUUUUACAUAUAUUUAACACACAUUUUUUUACUUUUUUAAUAUGUUUUGUUAAAAAUGUAUUGGCUUGCCUUUUAAGUAGUGAUAUCUUUUUUUUUUUUGGCUUGUAAAAUUUCUCAUUUUCAAUGGAGUAAGUGGGCCAAAGUUCCAUAGCAAAUCAGAGAACAGAGCUUGAGUUCACUCAAAAUACUUGCAAAGCCGAUUCAAAUAUACAAAUAUUUAGACAUUGUGCUGGCAAGACAGCACCCUCAUGACAAAAUUUAAUGACCAAAACUAUUGAUCUUAUGCAUAAUUAAGUUUUAAAAAACAUUUUUUUGUUUCUUUUCACUUCUUGUAAGCUACCAAAUUUUAGUUUCUUUCCCCGACUUGAUUUAAUCAAAGCUACAGGUCUUUCUACUCUUUGUGGAAGUCAGCCUCUCAUCAUCUUGAGCAGUCCUGAACAAUGUUGUAGGAUUUUCCAUGUUUGGUAACAUAGCCAUGUGUUGGGGUUCAAAUGUUUGCAUGGAACUAGAAGCUUGUGUGUGUACAUAUCAUCUACACCCUGCUAGGGGGGCAUGGUGGCUGAGAGGUCAAGUGCUUGGCCUCUGAAAUUCAGGAUGCCCCCCAAGUCCACCCAACUCUAAUGGGUGCCUGGAAUAGGAAAGUAAAAAAUGCUGACCAAGACAUCUGCGCUAACAGUUGACCAUAGAAAUAGAUGACCUUUACAUCAUCUGCCCCAUAGAUCACAAGGAUUGAAAAGGAGACUAUUUACUACUACACAAAGCUGGGUUUAUAUUGUGUUUUCAUAGCCUUACCUUUUUGGUUGACUAUUUUUAGUGUCACACUUUGUUAUUUAACUUCUCACCUAAGUCACUUAUCUAUCCAUGACAGUGUUUUGAUAUUAAUUCACUAGUGUUUAUUGUUGUCUUUACCAUACCAGUCUUAUCAAUAUGUAUCACACAGAGCUGUAAUAGAGUUGAAAAGUUUGAGUGAAACUUUGAAUGGGAUUUAACAUUGUUUAGAAAACACCAUGAUAUUUGGCCAAGGUUGCAGUACAAUAAUAUAGAUUUCAAUUCUAUGGCAUUUUUAUGUCUCAAUCGUUUCAAUGUCAAUUAGUAUGUAACAUUUCUGUAUACUCUUACUUAAUAAAGUAAAGAUUUCAGAUUGUACCAUUUCCCUCCAACAUAAGUACUAACUUCAUUAAGUGCAGUACCAGAGUUAAAUGUAGUCACCUGUCCUAUACAUCAAGUUUUUUUAUGUGAACAUUGUUGCUAUUGUUUAUUUCAAAAGAAAUAAGUCACAGCGCCAUUUAAAAAGUAGUACUAGAGGAACCAUAUUUGCGAUUUUAUUAUUUGUAUCAGAACUUAACAUUAUUAAUGUUUUUUUAAAAUAAUUUUUAAUACGUGAAGUGUAACCAAGGCAAUUUUGGUUGCAGUGGAUAACAAUGAUAGCAAGAAUUGCUGGUUUUCAAUUCAUUUCUAAUGUCUGAAGCUUUUAAUUGACUGAAGUAUUAUCAACUGUCUACUUCCAAUGUUACAUGUGCCUUACAUUCUUAAAUUUGAUGUGUGAACAAUUACAUUUCUCACUAUAAUGUACAGCCCCCUGUACAAUCUUUAUUAACUAUUUACAAUGGUAUUACUUGAUAGAUUAGUAACAAGAAAGUGGAUGUUACCAAUAUUUUUAAGCCAAAGUCUAUGAAAGUGUUUAAAUGAGAGACAGGUCGUGAGGAAUGACAUAAUGACCUACUAUUUGGAAGGAAUGUCUGUAAUUUAUAAAACAAGCUCUAAAUGUAGAACUAAGGUGCUAUAUUGUAUUGUGUUUCACUAUUGUAGAGACAUGUUUGACUUGUACAAUUUUUCAGGAGGUGUUUGAGUGUCUUGUACAGAGUAUUCCAACAGUGAGAUAAGGAAAACACAAGACAGUUCAACAAUUCAAACUUACAUUUAAUACAGAAUGGGCCAGUAGAGUCUCUGUCACCUCUACAUAAAGCAUCUUGUCAACUGAUUAAAAUAAUACAUAAACAAACUAAACCCUAAUAUCUGUGAUCACACUAAAUGCUGCAUUGAAAGUCUGUCAACUAUAGCGCAUCAUAAAGCUAAAAGAAGUCUAUUAUAAUAUAAAAUGACUAAAAAAAAUUUUAAAUUCUAGUAUAUUUGAACUAGUCUUAUCUAGUUUGUGUACAUGUAUAAAUACAUCUAGUCUGAUACCUUGGGUUCAAUGCUGUAAUGAAGCUGUACUAAUAUUUGUAAGCCUAAUUUGUAUUGCAAUGCCAUUCACUAUUAAUCAUGUCAUGCUUCUUAAAGCUUGGUGCACAUAUAUUUAUGUGGAGUAAUACCCCAGUACACUUAUAGUAUCUAUACUUUUGUUUUAUGUCAGGGAUUUAAUGACCUCAUGUUUUGCAAGUCACUUUAAGGCUGUGUUGUCACACUUUUCAUAACUCUUCAUUUAGUAAGAUUUCUUUCUUGGUAACACAUUCCCUUCGUAGGGAAGAUCUUUUUGUUUUUUUAAAUUACAGUCCUACUGUUUAAAAUGUGUGUGUGUGUGCCUGUAGGUAUUGAGGAAUUAGAUCUUGAAGCACUUGUAUAAAUAUAACAUAUUGUCAGCAUAAAUAAACAACGUUGACUUUGGUGA